GGUUAAGCGACUAAGCGUACACGGUGGAUGCCCUGGCAGUCAGAGGCGAUGAAGGACGUGCUAAUCUGCGAUAAGCGUCGGUAAGGUGAUAUGAACCGUUAUAACCGGCGAUUUCCGAAUGGGGAAACCCAGUGUGUUUCGACACACUAUCAUUAACUGAAUCCAUAGGUUAAUGAGGCGAACCGGGGGAACUGAAACAUCUAAGUACCCCGAGGAAAAGAAAUCAACCGAGAUUCCCCCAGUAGCGGCGAGCGAACGGGGAGCAGCCCAGAGCCUGAAUCAGUGUGUGUGUUAGUGGAAGCGUCUGGAAAGGCGCGCGAUACAGGGUGACAGCCCCGUACACAAAAAUACACAUACUGUGAGCUCGAUGAGUAGGGCGGGACACGUGGUAUCCUGUCUGAAUAUGGGGGGACCAUCCUCCAAGGCUAAAUACUCCUGACUGACCGAUAGUGAACCAGUACCGUGAGGGAAAGGCGAAAAGAACCCCGGCGAGGGGAGUGAAAAAGAACCUGAAACCGUGUACGUACAAGCAGUGGGAGCACGCUUAGGCGUGUGACUGCGUACCUUUUGUAUAAUGGGUCAGCGACUUAUAUUCUGUAGCAAGGUUAACCGAAUAGGGGAGCCGAAGGGAAACCGAGUCUUAACUGGGCGUUAAGUUGCAGGGUAUAGACCCGAAACCCGGUGAUCUAGCCAUGGGCAGGUUGAAGGUUGGGUAACACUAACUGGAGGACCGAACCGACUAAUGUUGAAAAAUUAGCGGAUGACUUGUGGCUGGGGGUGAAAGGCCAAUCAAACCGGGAGAUAGCUGGUUCUCCCCGAAAGCUAUUUAGGUAGCGCCUCGUGAAUUCAUCUCCGGGGGUAGAGCACUGUUUCGGCAAGGGGGUCAUCCCGACUUACCAACCCGAUGCAAACUGCGAAUACCGGAGAAUGUUAUCACGGGAGACACACGGCGGGUGCUAACGUCCGUCGUGAAGAGGGAAACAACCCAGACCGCCAGCUAAGGUCCCAAAGUCAUGGUUAAGUGGGAAACGAUGUGGGAAGGCCCAGACAGCCAGGAUGUUGGCUUAGAAGCAGCCAUCAUUUAAAGAAAGCGUAAUAGCUCACUGGUCGAGUCGGCCUGCGCGGAAGAUGUAACGGGGCUAAACCAUGCACCGAAGCUGCGGCAGCGACGCUUAUGCGUUGUUGGGUAGGGGAGCGUUCUGUAAGCCUGCGAAGGUGUGCUGUGAGGCAUGCUGGAGGUAUCAGAAGUGCGAAUGCUGACAUAAGUAACGAUAAAGCGGGUGAAAAGCCCGCUCGCCGGAAGACCAAGGGUUCCUGUCCAACGUUAAUCGGGGCAGGGUGAGUCGACCCCUAAGGCGAGGCCGAAAGGCGUAGUCGAUGGGAAACAGGUUAAUAUUCCUGUACUUGGUGUUACUGCGAAGGGGGGACGGAGAAGGCUAUGUUGGCCGGGCGACGGUUGUCCCGGUUUAAGCGUGUAGGCUGGUUUUCCAGGCAAAUCCGGAAAAUCAAGGCUGAGGCGUGAUGACGAGGCACUACGGUGCUGAAGCAACAAAUGCCCUGCUUCCAGGAAAAGCCUCUAAGCAUCAGGUAACAUCAAAUCGUACCCCAAACCGACACAGGUGGUCAGGUAGAGAAUACCAAGGCGCUUGAGAGAACUCGGGUGAAGGAACUAGGCAAAAUGGUGCCGUAACUUCGGGAGAACGCACGCUGAUAUGUAGUGAAGUCCCUCGCGGAUGGAGCUGAAAUCAGUCGAAGAUACCAGCUGGCUGCAACUGUUUAUUAAAACACAGCACUGUGCAAACACGAAAGUGGACGUAUACGUGUGACGCCUGCCCGGUGCCGGAAGGUUAAUUGAUGGGGUCAGCGCAAGCGAAGCUCUUGAUCGAAGCCCCGGUAAACGGCGGCCGUAACUAUAACGGUCCUAAGGUAGCGAAAUUCCUUGUCGGGUAAGUUCCGACCUGCACGAAUGGCGUAAUGAUGGCCAGGCUGUCUCCACCCGAGACUCAGUGAAAUUGAACUCGCUGUGAAGAUGCAGUGUACCCGCGGCAAGACGGAAAGACCCCGUGAACCUUUACUAUAGCUUGACACUGAACAUUGAGCCUUGAUGUGUAGGAUAGGUGGGAGGCUUUGAAGUGUGGACGCCAGUCUGCAUGGAGCCGACCUUGAAAUACCACCCUUUAAUGUUUGAUGUUCUAACGUUGACCCGUGAUCCGGGUUGCGGACAGUGUCUGGUGGGUAGUUUGACUGGGGCGGUCUCCUCCUAAAGAGUAACGGAGGAGCACGAAGGUUGGCUAAUCCUGGUCGGACAUCAGGAGGUUAGUGCAAUGGCAUAAGCCAGCUUGACUGCGAGCGUGACGGCGCGAGCAGGUGCGAAAGCAGGUCAUAGUGAUCCGGUGGUUCUGAAUGGAAGGGCCAUCGCUCAACGGAUAAAAGGUACUCCGGGGAUAACAGGCUGAUACCGCCCAAGAGUUCAUAUCGACGGCGGUGUUUGGCACCUCGAUGUCGGCUCAUCACAUCCUGGGGCUGAAGUAGGUCCCAAGGGUAUGGCUGUUCGCCAUUUAAAGUGGUACGCGAGCUGGGUUUAGAACGUCGUGAGACAGUUCGGUCCCUAUCUGCCGUGGGCGCUGGAGAACUGAGGGGGGCUGCUCCUAGUACGAGAGGACCGGAGUGGACGCAUCACUGGUGUUCGGGUUGUCAUGCCAAUGGCACUGCCCGGUAGCUAAAUGCGGAAGAGAUAAGUGCUGAAAGCAUCUAAGCACGAAACUUGCCCCGAGAUGAGUUCUCCCUGACUCCUUGAGAGUCCUGAAGGAACGUUGAAGACGACGACGUUGAUAGGCCGGGUGUGUAAGCGCAGCGAUGCGUUGAGCUAACCGGUACUAAUGAACCGUGAGGCUUAACCUU
rnacentral:rRNA from 1 species